rnacentral:lncRNA from 1 species
AUUCACUGUCUCUGUCACCUGGUGAAGCUCAGGAGUCCAGGGCGGUCCUGCCUCCCAUCUAUGCAGCGAAGAGGAUCAUUCACACUGACUUUGCUGCACUUGGUAUUAACCCCACACCUCGCCCCACUGCACCAUCGAGCUGCUAAACGGCAUCUCCAGGGUCCCCUUCAUCCCCUUCCACACAAGCCUUGUGCAGCGUGUCCAUCGGAACUUUCCAAGUUCCUUCUGAGAACAUUUUAGUAACCUCAAAAAUUAUUGGAAGAUGAGAGCUCAGUUCCACCACAACCUCUCACAAUGAAGUCAAGUUGCAAAUGAAAUUCUCCCUCACAGGCAAACAUAUUUGGGCGGUCAAGCAUGAGAUGCCCAUGUGACCUGCAUGCUGCCUUGCAUGAACUCCUCCAAGGCAAAGAUGGUGCAGUGCCCAAUGGCAGCAGGCUUUGUGCAGCAUUUCCAACCAAUCCUGCUUCA